AGGGGCAAUUUUGCUUUAUUUAAUUAUUAUCAUUUUUUUUCUCCCCAAUUGGUAGUUACAGUCUCAUUGCUGCAACUCCCCGUACGGACUAGGGAGAGGCGAAGGUCGAGAGGCGAAGGUCGAGAGGCGAAGGUCGAGAGCCAUGCGUCCUCAGAAACACAACCCAACCAAGCCACACUGCUUCUUGACAAAAUGCCCACUUAACCCGGAAGCCAGCCAUACCAAUGUGCCGGAGGAAACACCGUACACCUGGUGACUGUGUCAGCGUGCAAUGCGCCCGGCCCGCCACAGGAGUCGUUGCUGCGCAUCGGGACAAGGACAUCCCUGCCGGCCAAAUCCUCCCCUAACCCGGACGACGCUGGGCCAAUUGUGCGCCGCCCCAUUGGCCUCCCGGUCGUGGGUGGCUGUGACAGAGCCUGGACUCAAACCAAGAAUCUCUAGUGGUACAGCUUGCAUUGUAAUGCAGUGGCUUAGACCACUGAGCCACUAGGGAGGCCCGUUGGACCCUUGUUAAGGUCAACGGCAUCAUCAACUUUACUCAGUACCCAAUAAUAUUUGCCCAAAACCUGGUUGCCUCUGCCAGGAGGUUGAAACUUGGCCUCAAGUGGAUUUUCCUCAAGACAAUAACCCCAAGCACACAUCAAAAUCCAC